UGAGGGAGCCACUAUGGGUGACACGGUGCCCCCAGCACUCCCAUGCCUGCCAGCUGGGGGACACACCGUGUGCUCUCUGCCACCAUACAGGGAUCACCAGGUGUCGGUGUGCGGGGACCACCAGGACAGGAUGGGCCUCCAGGCUUGAAGGGUGACAUCGGCUUGCCAGGACCACCAGGACCCCCAGGUUUAGCAGGCAUUGCUGGGGCGCCAGGACAGCCUGGCCUGAGAGGGGACAGUGGGCAGCCUGGCCCCCCUGGUGCCCCAGGAGAGAGGGGUUUGAUCGGUUUUCCUGGGAGAGAUGGCACACCUGGACCACCGGGACCUGUGGGGCCCCCAGGGCCAGCCGUGAGUAUGGGACUCCAGUGCCACAGUGUCCCUCAGGGGGGCAAGCUCUGUCCUGGCUGCCCCACCAGCUUGGGCAGGGUGAUGGGGACCCACCCUGCACCUUCCCAGCCCUGGGGCUGGGGGCUGCUGGGGGUUCUGACACAGGGUGGGAGCUGCUGUGGGAGCCCCAGGGACGCUUUGUGAGGUGCCCAUCAUCACCUUCUUCCUGUGGCUUGCUCACCCC
rnacentral:lncRNA from 1 species